UCCGGUUUGUCACCGGCAGUCUCCUUAGAGUUCCCGACAUUACUCGCUGGCAACUAAGGACAAGGGUUGCGCUCGUUGCGGGACUUAACCCAACAUCUCACGACACGAGCUGACGACAGCCAUGCAGCACCUGUGUUCCGAUUCCCGAAGGCACCCGCCCAUCUCUGGGCAGUUCCGGACAUGUCAAGGCCAGGUAAGGUUCUGCGCGUUGCAUCGAAUUAAACCACAUACUCCACCGCUUGUGCGGGCCCCCGUCAAUUCCUUUGAGUUUCAGUCUUGCGACCGUACUCCCCAGGCGGCGAACUUAACGCGUUAGCUUCGACACUGAGUGGCUAGAUCCACCCAACGUCCAGUUCGCAUCGUUUAGGGCGUGGACUAC
rnacentral:misc_RNA from 1 species